UACGGGGGGGGCAAGCGUUGUUCGGAAUUACUGGGCGUAAAGCGCGUGUAGGCGGUCACGCAAGUCAGGUGUGAAAGCCCAGGGCUCAACCCUGGAAGUGCACAUGAUACUACGUGGCUGGAGUACUGAAGAGGAGAGCGGAAUUCCCGGUGUAGAGGUGAAAUUCGUAGAUAUCGGGAGGAACACCAGUGGCGAAGGCGGCUCUCUGGGCAGAUACUGACGCUGAGACGCGAAAGCGUGGGUAGCAAACAGG
rnacentral:rRNA from 1 species